UGGGAUUACAGGCGUGAGCCACUGCGCCCGGCCAAUGCUUAAGUUUUUAUUCAUAAUUUACUCAAAGUCACUGAGCUCUGACUUCAUGCUGGUGAUUCAGAUUUGAGUCCUGGGAAGAUCAUCUGAGAUGACGUUUAAGCCAAGGGUUUAAAUGAGUCAUAUUCAGCCAGGUGCAGACUAAGGCAGUGCAGGUUCCAGGCAGAAGGGAAAGCACGUGGACACGCUGAGAUGCAGGCAAGGCCUCACAGCCAGAGCUGGCUUGUCACCUGGCGUGGGAACACCUUUCCUCUUCAGACUCUGAGUGGAGCCCCAACCCACGCAGGGCGUGUCUUCAUGGCUUUUCCUGGCCAAUCUGAUACCAAGAUGCAGUGGCCAGAAGUACCUGCACUUCCACUCCUGUCAAGUCUCUGCAUGGCUAUGGUGAGGAAGAGCUCUGCACUGGGCAAGGAAGUUGGCCGUCGAGUGAAGGAAAUGGUGAUGCUGGUGGCCCCUUUCCGGCAGUCAAGUUCCCUAUCAAGGACAUUCAGUUCUCGGAAAGUGGUGAAGGCACAUGCUUCCCUGCAUGGUGCCCGCCUCUCUCCACUCUCUAGAAAUAUUAGAGGCUAGGCUGCUGCUGUAUGUCAGGGCUAGUCCCUCUUCUAUGAAUCCAGAAUAACUCUGAAGAAGCCGAGUAACAGGCAUGAAGUGAAGAGAAAUCGCUGUAACAGGAAGACAGCAAAGCAGAUGCUAAUGACCACACUAUUUAACGAACUGGAACCAACGAGAAAAUACGGUAUUACUGAAGACUGCACUUCCUUGAACAGAGUGCUCUUCUCAGCAAAUCGGAAAUGCCUACACAAAUCGCUUUACAAGAAAGACUGUUUCAAAGCAGCACCUUUCUCAAUGUUCUCGUUCAGGUGACAAUUCUUCUUGGUCUCAGCUCCAAUUUUAUUGUCAUUUUCAUCAAUAAGGAUACACAUCUCUGCCAGGAGUUGAACCUGUUGCUUGUCGAGGUGGUUAGUGUUUAUUUCAGGCAUCAUUACAAAAUGUCUGAUCUGUUCUAGA
ensembl:lncRNA IDI2-AS1 IDI2 antisense RNA 1